GAUGAACGCUGGCGGCGUGCCUAAUACAUGCAAGUCGAGCGAAUGGAUUAAGAGCUUGCUCUUAUGAAGUUAGCGGCGGACGGGUGAGUAACACGUGGGUAACCUGCCCAUAAGACUGGGAUAACUCUGGGAAACCGGGGCUAAUACCGGAUAACAUUUUGAACCGCAUGGUUCGAAAUUGAAAGGCGGCUUCGGCUGUCACUUAUGGAUGGACCCGCGUCGCAUUAGCUAGUUGGUGAGGUAACGGCUAACCAAGGCAACGAUGCGUAGCCGACCUGAGAGGGUGAUCGGCCACACUGGGACUGAGACACGGCCCAGACUCCUACGGGAGGCAGCAGUAGGGAAUCUUCCGCAAUGGACGAAAGUCUGACGGAGCAACGCCGCGUGAGUGAUGAAGGCUUUCGGGUCGUAAAACUCUGUUGUUAGGGAAGAACAAGUGCCAGUUGAAUAAGCUGGCACCUUGACGGUACCUAACCAGAAAGCCACGGCUAACUACGUGCCAGCCGCCGCCGUAA
rnacentral:rRNA from 1 species